rnacentral:rRNA from 1 species
AUUGAACGCUGGCGGCAGGCCUAACACAUGCAAGUCGAGCGGAUGAAGGGAGCUUGCUCCUGGAUUCAGCGGCGGACGGGUGAGUAAUGCCUAGGAAUCUGCCUGGUAGUGGGGGAUAACGUCCGGAAACGGGCGCUAAUACCGCAUACGUCCUGAGGGAGAAAGUGGGGGAUCUUCGGGCCUCACGCUAUCAGAUGAGCCUAGGUCGGAUUAGCUAGUUGGUGGGGUAAAGGCCUACCAAGGCGACGAUCCGUAACUGGUCUGAGAGGAUGAUCAGUCACACUGGAACUGAGACACGGUCCAGACUCCUACGGGAGGCAGCAGUGGGGAAUACUGGACAAUGGGCGAAAGCCUGAUCCAGCCAUGCCGCGUGUGUGAAGAAGGUCUUCGGAUUGUAAAGCACUUUAAGUUGGGAGGAAGGGCAGUAAGUUAAUACCUUGCUGUUUUGACGUUACCAACAGAAUAAGCACCGGCUAACUUCGUG